rnacentral:rRNA from 1 species
UACGUAGGUGGCAAGCGUUAUCCGGAAUUAUUGGGUUUAAAGGGUGCGCAGGCGGCACGGCAAGCCGGCGGUCAAAUCGCGGGGCUCAACCCCGCCCAGCCGUCGGAACUGCCGGGCUAGAGUGGGCGAGAAGUGCGCGGAAUGCGUGGUGUAGCGGUGAAAUGCAUAGAUAUCACGCAGAACUCCGAUUGCGAAGGCAGCGCACCGGCGCCCUACUGACGCUCAGGCACGAAAGCGUUGGUAUCGAACAGG